rnacentral:rRNA from 1 species
AUUGAACGCUGGCGGCAGGCCUAACCCAUGCAAGUCGAGCGGCUGAACGGUACUUGCUUCUUUUUUCGGCGGCGGACGGGCGAAGGGUGCCUAGGAAUAUGGCAUUUAGUUUUUUCUUGGGGCCGAACGUGGGCAAUCUUACCCCAUUCCUCCUUAGGGCGACCGGUGGAAAUCUUGGGACCUCCCGCCCUCCGCUGAUCCGAUGUCGGAUUAGCUAGUUGGUGGGGUAAAGGCCUACCAAGGCGACGAUCCGUAGCUGGUCUGAGAGGAUGAUCAGCCACACUGGAACUGAGACACGGUCCAGACUCCUACGGGAGGCAGCAGUGGGGAAUAUUGGACAAUGGGCGCAAGCCUGAUCCAGCCAUACCGCGUGGGUGAAGAAGGCCUUCGGGUUGUAAAGCCCUUUUGUUGGGAAAGAAAAGCAGCAGGUUAAUACCCCGCUGUUCUGACGGUACCCAAAGAAUAAGCACCGGCUAACUUCGUG